AUAAAAUACCUUUAAUAAGAUUUAUAAGUGAUGGUCCAAAUUAAAAAAUCACAUAUGAAAAAAGUCAUGACUUCUAUUUUAAUAUAUAAGAUAUCUAUAUAAUUGCUUAUGGAUUAGACUUAUAAUUUCAGUGGUCAAAGCAUUGCCUGUUGUUUGUGGGGAAAAUAUGCUGAACAGCUUGACGAUCAUCUCCAACAAACAAAAGAUCAUAUGUGUGCUUGAUCUGGUUUGUGAAAAUUGGGUUUUACAAAGGAGAAGUUCAAGUAACCAAUGCAUUUGAUGCAUCACUAAUCCUUUUCAAUCCUGAGUGUCCCGAAGCUCUUGCUUUAACAAACGUGUAGGAUUUCUAACUACUAUAUUUAUAUUAUUGUUAUACUAUAAGACUUUGACCCUUUUAUUUUUAUACGUAAUUGUAUUUUCAAUAGGCCAAAUAAUGAGCUUGCUCUCGCUCUUAUUGAUCCAAAGAAAGAUAAACGUGUGACCAGAUACCAAGUUGAUGAUUGGAAUGAUAUGGAUAUUAAAUCUAUCUCUGAGAUCACCAUGGCAAAAAUGGUUUUGUUCUUAUAUUUUGAUGAUCAUUUAAUUUACCAUCACAUUUAUGUUUUGAAUUAUAUAUUGCAAAAUCAUCUGCUCAAUCGAAUCUAUAGAUACAGAUUGGAGCUGGUUUUACCAAGGCCAUGACAGUUGUAAGAAACGUGCCAUACUAAUCAAAUCAAAAAGUGAAAAUUUGGCUUCAAAUGAGAAACCAGUUUUCUGGUGCACAAGUUGUCGUACUAAUGUCACCAGUGUAUCUCCAAAGUGAGUUUUUAUGCUUUUAAAUCACCUAUGUCUUAUUUGUUUUUAUUUUUUUACAAUCUUACAUUUAACUGCUAUAUUUUUGGUUAUAAACAGAUUCAAACUGCAUCUGGUUGUCAAAGAUGACACAAGUACUUGCAAACUGAUGAUCCUUGAUACAAUUGGUAGAGUCAUUGUCGGAUGUGAAGCAGAAGAGCUUUAGGAUGGUUCCUAUGAUGAGAUUGAAGAUCCUGAUGUCUUACCACAACCUAUUAAAGAUUUGGUUGGGUUAUCAUUUUGUUUUGGUGUUACUCUUGGCUCUAAGAAUGUUUCCGGUGGAUCAGAAAUCUUUUUGGUUUCAUAAGUUUUGUCUGGAGACAUGCUUCUCCAAAUCGAGACCAAUUCUGAACCCAUAACUCAUGUUACAGAUGGUUCAUCAAUCAUGUCUUGUGGAGAGGUUUGUGUUUAGAAUACAAUAGAUGUGACUAUAUCGUUUCUGCUCCUUAUAUAUUGUUUAGUGUGAUUAGCUUUUUACAUUUUACAUUGUUUGUUGACCUUAUGAUUAAGUGUCUGCACCAGAAAAGAACAGUCAGAGUUCAGAAGAAGGUUCCUCAACCCCAUUCUCAAAGCGCAAAGAAAAAUAUCAACUUGAUCAGACUUCAACUUCGAAAAAAAUUUGUACCAAAAUCGUCAAGAUGGAGAAGAUCAAAGAUGAUUAGCUGGAAGUAGAAGGUGUCAGGCGAGAUUGAUGAGUUUUUCAUUAUUUUUAUGGUUUUUCUUAAUUGUUCUUUUGAUUUGUUUUUAAUAAUGUCUGUUGUUUUAUAAAACAGACUAUUUGUUUUCUUUGCUGAAACUUAAUAAUUAUGGGUUUUAAUUUGCAUAAUAAAUUUAUUUACUAUCCUUAACUAUACUAUCUUUAACCAAUGCAAACAAUGACUAAGACUGCUUCACCAAACUUCCAUUCCUAUCUAGCCGAACUUCUUAAUUAUACUAGCAAACUAUAAGUUGGAAAGCAGUAACUUACUUGACGUAAAUAUGGUUUGACGGCCAGUGUCUGAGUUCUGCCAGAGCUAAGAA